CAGGGAGACAACAAAAUGUUUAAUAUUUAUUAUUUUGUCACCUUAGGUCGAUCGGUAUCUCACGUUUUUAAUUUAUUAAGAAUUUCAUUUCCUAAGUUUUUCUAGGUCACACCCAUUAUUUUUCCUGGGCCAUUAGCUCAGGUGGUUAGAGCGCACCCCUGAUAAGGGUGAGGUCCCUGGUUCAAGUCCAGGAUGGCCCAUAUCUCUAUGUUGGGGGUAUAGCUCAGUUGGUAGAGCGCCUGCUUUGCAAGCAGGAUGUCAGCGGUUCGAGUCCGCUUACCUCCACUGAUCACCACCUCUUCCAUAAUCGGUAUUAAGGAAAUGUUUUGAGUUGUGAUCAAAUUCUGAAAGAAUCUAGCUUCCUAAUGAAAUCAUUAAGAUGCUGGACUCAUUGAAUUAAUUUCAUUGUUUUCAGAGAACCUUGACAACUGCAUAGAUUAUUUUUAAAGACAAUAAGCAUCUUUAAUGAUGCAGAUUUAUUAUUUGUGCAAAUGCAUUAAUAACAAUUCUAUUAAGCUGAUGCUUCAAUAUUUGAAGUUAUU
rnacentral:tRNA from 1 species